ACGAACGCUGGCGGCGUGCUCAACACAUGCACGUCGAACGGAAAGGCCCUGCUUUUGUGGGGUGCUCGAGUGGCGAACGGGUGAGUAACGCGUGAGUAACCUGCCCUUGACUUUGGGAUAACUUCAGGAAACUGGGGCUAAUACCGGAUAGGAGCUCCUGCUGCAUGGUGGGGGUUGGAAAGUUUCGGCGGUUGGGGAUGGACUCGCGGCUUAUCAGCUUGUUGGUGGGGUAGUGGCUUACCAAGGCUUUGACGGGUAGCCGGCCUGAGAGGGUGACCGGCCACAUUGGGACUGAGAUACGGCCCAGACUCCUACGGGAGGCAGCAGUGGGGAAUAUUGCACAAUGGGCGGAAGCCUGAUGCAGCAACGCCGCGUGCGGGAUGACGGCCUUCGGGUUGUAAACCGCUUUCGCCUGUGACGAAGCGUGAGUGACGGUAAUGGGUAAAGAAGCACCGGCUAACUACGUG
rnacentral:rRNA from 1 species